AACGGGAAGUCCAUUAUGUCUAUGUUCAAGUCCCUGGGAAGAGUCCCGGGCAAGAAAUCCUGUUUUCGUGAAGGCCAAACAAUGGAAUCACAUGACCUGGGUGAAGGACGACUAGGCCCAGGCUCGUCUCUACCUAACCCUGUGCUCUCUGUGUGCAUCUAUGUGGGCAUGGCAACCAAGCAGAGCAGCAAUAAAGACAGAGGGAACUCAGC